rnacentral:rRNA from 1 species
GAUGAACGCUGGCGGCGUGCCUUAGGCAUGCAAGUCGAACGCCCUAGCUUCGGUUAGGGAGUGGCGGACGGGUGAGUAACGCGUAGGAAUCUACCCUUUGGUGAGGAAUAGCCUCGGGAAACCGGGGGUAAUACCGCAUAAGCCGGUAACGGGAAAGAGCAUAACUGCUCGCCGAAGGAGGAGCCUGCGUCUUAUCAGCUUGUUGGUGAGGUAAUGGCUCACCAAGGCGAUGACGGGUAGCUGGUCUGAGAGGAUGGUCAGCCACAGGGACACUUAGACACGGGUCCCACGUCUACGGACGGCAGCAACCGGGAAUAUUGCGCAAUGGACGAAAGUCUGACGCAGCGACGCCGCGUGCGGGAUGAAGGCCUUCGGGUUGUAAACCGCUUUUAUUUAUCGGUCGACGGUAGAAGAAUAACCGCCUGCAAACUACGUGCCAGAAGCCUCGGUGAUACGUAGGGCGGAAGCGUUAUCCGGAUUUAUUGGGCGUAAAGGGUUUCGUAGGUGGUUGGUUAAGUCCAAGUUCAAAGCCUGGGGCUCAAUCCCAGAAAGGGUUUGGAUACUGACUAACUAGAGGUUUUUAGAGGGUGCUGGAAUUCCUGGUGUAGGGGUGAAAUCCAUUGAUAUCAGGAGGAACGUCGAGGGCGAAGGCAGGCACCUGGGAAUGACCUGACGCUAAGGAACGAAAGCUAGGGUAGCAAACCGGAUUAGAGACCCGGGUAGUCCUAGCCGUAAACGAUCCCCGCUAGCUGGUCUGAUUUUGUAUUGGACUGGCGUAAGCUAACGCGUUAAGCGGGGCGCCUGGGGAGUACGACCGCAAGGUUAAAACUCAAAGGAAUUGACGGGGACCUGCACAACCGGUGGAGCAUGUGGUUUAAUUCGAAACAAAGCGUAGGACCUUACCUGGACUUGACAUACUAGCUGCAAGCUUGCUGAAAGGCGAGCCGCCUUCGAGGGUGCUAGAACAGCUGCUGCAUGGCUGCCGUCAGCUCGUGCCGUAGGGUGUUUCCUUAAGUGGAUAAACGAGCGCAACCCUUACUGUAUGUUAAAUAUUCAUACGGAACUGCUCCGAUUAAAUCGGGGAGGAAGGAGAGGACGACGACUAGUCAGCAUGGUGCUUAUGUCCAGGGCUACACACAUCCUACAAUGGGUACGACAACGAGUUGCUAAGGAGUAAUCUGGAGCUAAUCUCUUAAACGUAUCCUCAGUUGGAAUUGUGGGCUGAAAUUCGCCCACAUGAACAUGGAAUCGGUAGUAAUCGCGGGUCAGCAGACCGCGGUGAAUACGUUCUCAGGUCUUGUACACACCGCCCGUCACAUGAGGAAAGUCGGCAACGCACGAAG